AAUUAGUCGGUGAAAGUCCACAUUAAGUUGCAAACUUGAAGAUAAUUAAGCUAAUUA
rnacentral:tRNA from 1 species